rnacentral:rRNA from 1 species
CAGUCGCCGCGGUAAUACGAGGGGUGCAAGCGUUAUUCGGAUUGAUUGGGUGUAAAGGGUGUGCAGACGGCUUAUUAAGUCACUUGUUAAAUUCUUCGGCCUAACUGAAGGUCUGCAAGUGAUACUGAUGAGCUAGAGGGUGGAAGAGAGAAGUGGAAUUCUCGGAGUAGCGGUAAAAUGCGUAGAUCUCGAGAGGAACACCAAUGGCGAAGGCAGCUUCUUGGUCCAUUCCUGACGUUCAUACACGAAAGCGUGGGGAGCAAACAGGAUUAGAUACCCGCGUAGUCCCUGUCUCUUAUAA